rnacentral:rRNA from 1 species
UACGGAGGGUGCAAGCGUUAUCCGGAUUCACUGGGUUUAAAGGGUGCGUAGGUGGGCAGGUAAGUCAGUGGUGAAAUCUCCGAGCUUAACUCGGAAACUGCCGUUGAUACUAUUUGUCUUGAAUAUUGUGGAGGUAAGCGGAAUAUGUCAUGUAGCGGUGAAAUGCUUAGAUAUGACAUAGAACACCAAUUGCGAAGGCAGCUUACUACACAACGAUUGACGCUGGAGGCACGAAAGCGUGGGGAUCAAACAGG